GGACACUGUGUCCGUCAUCGCUGCCAUCAUCAUCAUCAUCGGCCUCGUGGGAGUCGGUGUCUGGAAGCUCCGAUCCGGGAAGAGGAAGGGGAAUGGAUACGACCCCGCGCCCACCAGAAUCACGGCCUGAGCAAUCCUGGAGCUGGAUCCGCCCCUUCCCUCUCCCUGCGGAAAGGCAGGAGCUGCUGGCAGAGCUCAUCCCGCUGCUCCCACCCACCCCGGCCCCCCUGCGGCUCUUCCCGAUGGAUCAACUUCCUGCUUUUUCCCGUGUGAAACCCAGGACCACAAUUAUUCCUGAGGCUUUAAUUUGGGUGUGAAAAUCUCCUGCUUUGGGCAAC